UGCAAAUGCCAUGUUCAGACUUCUAUUGGUGAAUACGAGCGCCUUAAUUUUCACCACCAUGGAUAGCAACAUUUAAAUAACACCGGUUGGAAUUGUGCUGUCCACUCCAGCCUCCAGGAUUUUGCUUUUUCCACUUGGUCCUGCGGUUAUAAAACCAGAUUUUUACUUGGGUUUCCGUCAGGCUGAGAGACAGUGCGAGAAGAUUGAGCCUCUCACAGACGGACAGAUAGCGCGUGGUUUGAAACUUGUUUUCCAGAGCUACCAGCUGUUCGUGCGCGACUCGGUUUUGCACAGCCAUGUGCGGCGGCGUUUGAGUCGUCUUGUGUCAUUUGCGGCCAAGUGCUUUGUUUUAAAAGCGUUCAUCUUAACUUUAUGACUCAAAGUGAUCAAAUUCUAGUGUUGACUAUUGUGAGAGCAAAUGCAGGUUAACGAGAUGGUGCAUACCAUGGAUAUGCUCCUGGGCGAGUUCCACGAUUACCAGACUGCGUGGGAUAUCCCCUGAUGGAUGACGAGCUAUCCAGGAUGAAUAUAUACUGAAGACUCCGUUGCCAUGUCCCUGGCAUACGUAAUGAGGCGAGUAACUUGCCAUGAGGGUGUCUGCCACUCACCAAACUGGAGCACGUUUUGAAUACAAGGAUUGUUGGUGCAUAGGAUGUUCCUCUGGCUGUCUUGGCAUGUGCAGUAUAGCAGGCCUCAAGGUAUGGGACCUUUGAUGAUUUCCCUUCCGAGGCUGUGGGUUCAUUUCAAGUUACUGAAGCCACACCCCAACUGAAAUAAAUAUAUUUGGGCUUUAAAUGGUUGUCUUGACUUAACUUGACAGGCAUGCAUUUCUGCAUCGACC
ensembl:lncRNA